GCUGAAAUAAUAACAAAUACAAACAUCUAUCACCCAUUAAACAAACCAUUUGACCAACCUAGUAGAUGCGAUCGAACAGUAAUAACUACACCACAAAGUACCGCAAGGGAACACCACAAGCAAUAAACAGCAAAGAUUAACCCUUGUACCUUUUGCAUCAUGGUUUAGCAAGCCACUAAUGGACAAGAAGAAUCAUAGCCCAUACCCCCGAAACCAGGUGAGCUACUUCCAAGCAGCCUACCGGACAAACCCUUCUCUGUAGCAAAAGAGUGGGAAGACUCGAAAGUAGAGGUGAAACGCCUAUCGAACCUGGAGAUAGCUGGCUACCUAAAAAAGAAUCUAAGUUCUACUUUAGACCUUAAUAUAAUCAUUCAUAAACUAAAGAUAAUCAAUAGGGGUACAGCUCUAUUGAUACAGGAUUCAACCUGUGUUUGAGAGAAACACAAUAAAUCAUUAAACCAGUAGGCCCUUAAGCAGCCACCAAACAAAAUAUCGUUAAAGAAUUAUCUUAAAUCAACACCAACACCAACAAAAAACUCCAAAUAAACUAAAGGUAAAUCCAUCCACAUGGAUACUAUUAUGCUAAAACUAAUAAUAAGACACCCCCUCUAUCAACGCACCCAUCCACUAGAAACGGAUUAACCACUAGUCAUUAACAGACCCCAACAGGCAAUAAAUCAACCAAUACACAUCCAUACACAAACUGUGACACCAACACAGGCGCGUUAAAAAGAAAGAUAAAAUAUUAUAAAAGGAACUCGGCAACCAAAGACCCCAACUGUUUAACAAAAACAUAACCUUUAGCCAAAACAAAUAUUAAAGGCAACGCCUGCCCAGUGAACAAUUAAACGGCCGCGGUACCCUAACCGUGCAAAGGUAGCGUAAUCAUUUGUCUAUUAAUUGUAGACCAGUAUGAAAGGCAAAAUGAGGGUCUAUCUGUCUCUUAUAAUAAAUCAAUUAAACUGAUCUACUAGUAAAAAAGCUAGAAUUCUAACAUAAGACCAGAAGACCCUGUGAAGCUUAAACUAAAAUAUUAAACCAUAUAAUAUAUACUUUUGGUUGGGGCGACCUUGGAAAAAAAAAGAACUUCCAAACAAAUGACUACAACUCAUACCAAACAUAGGCCCACAAGCCUUUCAUUAAGACCCAGUAUAACUGACAACUGAACAAAGUUACUCCAGGGAUAACAGCGCCAUCUUCUUCAAGAGUCCAUAUCAAAAAGAAGGUUUACGACCUCGAUGUUGGAUCAGGACAUCCUAAUGGUGCAGCCGCUAUUAAGGGUUCGUUUGUUCAACGAUUAACAGUCCUACGUGAUCUGAGUUCAGACCGGAGCAAUCCAGGUCGGUUUCUAUCUAUGACACACCCUGCCCAGUACGAAAGGACAGACAGAGUAAAGCCAAUACCACAAGCACGCUUAAUCGAGCUCCACCCGGACUAGAUAGUCGACGCCCAACCAAGAUAAGGUUAAUUAAGGACCCCCCUUA
rnacentral:rRNA from 1 species